rnacentral:rRNA from 1 species
AGAGUUUGAUCCUGGCUCAGGAUGAACGCUGGCGGCGUGCUUAACACAUGCAAGUCGAACGGACGCUUUGGGAAACUGAAGCGUUAGUGGCAAACGGGUGCGUAACACGUGGGUGACCUACCCCAAAGUGGGGAACAACGGACCGAAAGGUUCGCUAAUACCGCAUUAGCUCAGUCCUUCAUUGGGUUGAGUAAAGCCGCAAGGCGCUUUGGGAGGGGCCCGCGGCCCAUCAGGUAGUUGGUGAGGUAAUGGCCCACCAAGCCGAUGACGGGUAGCUGGUCUGAGAGGACGAUCAGCCACACUGGCACUGAGAUACGGGCCAGACUCCUACGGGAGGCAGCAGUGAGGAAUAUUGCGCAAUGGGGGAAACCCUGACGCAGCGACGCCGCGUGGGCGACGAAGGCCCUCGGGUCGUAAAGCCCUUUUGGCAGGGACGAGUGAGGACGGUACCUGCCGAAUAAGUCUCGGCUAACUACGUGCCAGCCGCCGCGGUAAUUC